AAUAGAUACCCGGGUAGUCCACGCCGUAAACGAUGAGUGCUAAGUGUUAGAGGGUUUCCGCCCUUUAGUGCUGCAGCUAACGCAUUAAGCACUCCGCCUGGGGAGUACGGCCGCAAGGCUGAAACUCAAAGGAAUUGACGGGGGCCCGCACAAGCGGUGGAGCAUGUGGUUUAAUUCGAAGCAACGCGAAGAACCUUACCAGGUCUUGACAUCCUCUGACCUCCCUGGAGACAGGGCCUUCCCCUUCGGGGGACAGAGUGACAGGUGGUGCAUGGUUGUCGUCAGCUCGUGUCGUGAGAUGUUGGGUUAAGUCCCGCAACGAGCGCAACCCUUGACCUUAGUUGCCAGCAUUCAGUUGGGCACUCUAAGGUGACUGCCGGUGACAAACCGGAGGAAGGUGGGGAUGACGUCAAAUCAUCAUGCCCCUUAUGACCUGGGCUACACACGUGCUACAAUGGAUGGUACAAAGGGCUGCGAGACCGCGAGGUUAAGCCAAUCCCAAAAAACCAUUCCCAGUUCGGAUUGCAGGCUGCAACCCG
rnacentral:rRNA from 1 species